AGUGAACGCUGGCGGUAGGCCUAACACAUGCAAGUCGAACGGCAGCACAGUAAGAGCUUGCUCUUACGGGUGGCGAGUGGCGGACGGGUGGGGAAUACAUCGGAAUCUACUUUUUCGUGGGGGAUAACGUAGGGAAACUUACGCUAAUACCGCAUACGACCUACGGGUGAAAGCAGGGGAUCUUCGGACCUUGCGCGAUUGAAUGAGCCGAUGUCGGAUUAGCUAGUUGGCGGGGUAAAGGCCCACCAAGGCGACGAUCCGUAGCUGGUCUGAGAGGAUGAUCAGCCACACUGGAACUGAGACACGGUCCAGACUCCUACGGGAGGCAGCAGUGGGGAAUAUUGGACAAUGGGCGCAAGCCUGAUCCAGCCAUACCGCGUGGGUGAAGAAGGCCUUCGGGUUGUAAAGCCCUUUUGUUGGGAAAGAAAAGCAGCAGGUUAAUACCCCGCUGUUCUGACGGUACCCAGAGAAUAAGCACCGGCUAACUUCGUG
rnacentral:rRNA from 1 species